UGCCCGUGCUGUGGUACGUGCAGCGCUGCGCGGAGCGGGCCGCCCCCGGUGGCGCGGUGCUGAGGCAGGGGGUGAGGGACGGCCUCGGCGCUCGUGUCCCGGUCCCAGCAGGGCCUUCCCACACGCGCGGCAACGUGGGUGCAUUUCCACGAAAUCUGGUCUCACAACAUCCAGAGUUCCUGCAGAAUUUGAGCUGUCAGAACCUCAGAGCUGGCAUUGUUGAGUGGCUUUACAGUGACUAUAGUCUUCUGCAGUGGUGCGUUGCUGGAAAGUAAUGUUGUGUCCCAUUCUUUCCACUUGCAAUUCUACUUAUAAAAAGUGUUCCUCUCUCACAGCCUGCUACGAAAAUAUCUGGGUUUAGUGCAUUGAAAUCUGCAUGGGAUAAUUGAAAUUUAAAAUGUAGUAAAAUAAAAUUCAUUUGUUUAAACAA